AGAGUUUGAUCCUGGCUCAGGAUGAACGCUAGCGGCAGGCUUAACACAUGCAAGUCGAGGGGCAGCGGGGUGUAGCAAUACAUCGCCGGCGACCGGCGCACGGGUGCGUAACACGUAUGGAAUCUGCCCUGUACUGGGGGAUAGCCCUCCGAAAGGAGGAUUAAUACCCCAUAACAACUUGAGUGGCAUCACUUGGGUUUGAAAGCUCCGGCGGUACAGGAUGACCAUGCGCCCGAUUAGCUAGUAGGUGAGGUAACGGCUCACCUAGGCUACGAUCGGUAGGGGGCCUGAGAGGGUUAUCCCCCACACUGGUACUGAGACACGGACCAGACUCCUACGGGAGGCAGCAGUGAGGAAUAUUGCGCAAUGGAGGCAACUCUGACGCAGCCAUGCCGCGUGCAGGAAGAAGGCGCUACGCGUUGUAAACUGCUUUUAUCCGGGAAGAAACCCCAGGACGUGUCCUGGGUUGACGGUACCGGAGGAAUAAGCACCGGCUAACUUCGUGCCAGCAGCCGCGGUAAUACGAAGGGUGCAAGCGUUAUCCGGAUUCAUUGGGUUUAAAGGGUGCGUAGGCGGGGUGGUAAGUCAGUGGUGAAAUCCUGCGGCUCAACCGUAGAAUUGCCAUUGAUACUGCCAUUCUUGAGUAGGCUUGACGUGGGCGGAAUGUGCCGUGUAGCGGUGAAAUGCUUAGAUAUGGCACAGAACACCGAUAGUGAAGACAGCUCACGAGGGCGAAACUGACGCUGAGGCACGAAAGCGUGGGGAUCGAACAGGAUUAGAUACCCUGGUAGUCCACGCCGUAAACGAUGAUCACUC
rnacentral:rRNA from 1 species